AAAAAUCAUCAUCUUCUUCAUAUGAACGAAAUCAGCAAGGGGGGAAGCCAUAGUUAGGGUUUUCAAGCUUCCAAGCUCCAUAAUCAAGAAGUACGAAACUCGAGGUUAGACAAAGGGAAGAAUAAAGUUGAAGACUAAGUUGGUGAAUUUGGCUAUAAUUGGUACCGAGGUAAGUUUACGGUAAAUAAAUGCAAUAUUUCAAUAUUUAUUAUCAAUGAUGUUAAUUUCCAGCAAUUAUGAAUUUAUUUUAUGAAUUUAUUUGAUGAUGAUCCAAGCAUGAGAUGAUAGAGAAUUAAAAUUUGAAAGUCCCGUUGAUACAUAAGGAUGGUACUGGAUACGAAUGUCAUGACAUUUGGGUAAAGAGAUCCCAUGUAAGACCAUGUCUGGGACAUGGCAUUGGCAUCCUUAAGAUCAUAAGAGGUCCCCUGUAAGACCAUGUCUGGGACAUGGCAUGGGCACCGAGACGAGAGGUCCCAUGUAAGACCAUGUCUGGGACAUGGCGUUGGCACCGAGAUGAGAGGUCCCCUAUAAGACCAUGUCUGGGACAUGGCAUGGGCACCAACAUGAGAACAUCCCAUGUAAGACCAUGUCUGGGACAUGGCUUUGGCAUGUUAUUAUCAGAAGAGACCCGAGUAUCCUUAUUAUUCCAAUGUAGCUCAACGGGCUUGUAAAUGAAUCAUGUUCAUGAAAGUUCAGUUUAAAGCAUAAAUGGCAAGCUCAGGUAAGUUGUAAGACUUAAGAACUUAUUAUACUAUCAAUUGAUGUUCAACGAUGCAGCAAGGAUUGAGUAAGUUAUGCACACAAGUAUUCUAAGUAAACAAGUAAGAGAACUAGUAUGAGAUUAACUAAAGAGUAAACUAGAGAUGUAGACAUUGAGUUUAAUUAUUUAAGUUAAAUAUUGUUAUUUAUUUGCUAGUAAACUUACUAAGCUUUAUGCUUACUUCUUUUAUUUCUCUUUCUCUUAUAGUAUUGCAAAGCUACUUCAAGGAUCCUAAAGAAGUCGGAGAUCGUCCACACUAUCAACUACAACUGCUCGGUAUUUUAUAUCGAAACACGUUUGAGUUAUGGCAUGUAUAGGGAUUUAGUUUUUUUGUAUGUUUGUAAUGAUGAUUUUGCUAAUGAGUGAUGUGUAAGUAUUUGAUGAUGUAUGGUCAUUAAAAUGGUUAAGGAUGAAGGUGUUUGUUGUUAUGAAAGAUUAGGUGAUAAAUUAUGCAUGGAAAUCAUGAAAGGAUAAAAUUUUGCAA
rnacentral:lncRNA from 1 species